rnacentral:rRNA from 1 species
GACGGACGCUGGCGGCGUGCUUAACACAUGCAAGUCGAACGGAAAGGCCCUGCUUUUGUGGGGUGCUCGAGUGGCGAACGGGUGAGUAACACGUGAGUAACCUGCCCUUGACUUUGGGAUAACUUCAGGAAACUGGGGCUAAUACCGGAUAGGAGCUCCUGCUGCAUGGUGGGGGGUGGAAAGUUUCGGCGGGUGGGGAUGGACUCGGGGCUUAUCAGCUUGUUGGUGGGGUAGUGGCUUACCAAGGCUUUGACUGGUAGCCGGCCUGGGAGGGUGACCGGCCACAAUGGGACUGAGAUACGGCCCAGCCGCCUACAGUAGGCAGCAGUGGGGAAUAUUGCACAAUGGGCUGAAGCCUGAUGCAGCAACGCCGCGUGCGGUAUGACGGCCUUCGGGUUAUAAACCGCUUUCGCUUGUGACGAAGCGUGAGUGACGGUAAUGGGUAAAGAAGCACCGGCUAACUACGUG